rnacentral:lncRNA from 1 species
CUGAUGAUGUCCAUUUCAACAUUAGCAUACGUGGACAUUUGCAGCACUUCCUGUUUUCUUAAUUUUUAACUUUCAAUUUUAAACUUUUAUUAACAAAAGGGGAACUGUACUGGAACGGAUGGAGCCAAAUGUACCACUGUGUGCAGCUUUGGUAAAGGAAUUUAAAGGAGAACAAAUGCUGGGAAGUUGCUCUAACAUACAGUAUGUGUGUUCCCAAAGGUGAAGGCUCCAGAUGUGGCGGCCAAGCUGAAGAGACCAUCAGAGAGGCUGAAGGAGAAGCAGGAUGAACAGCAGAAUUACCAGGUUCUGACUCUGACGGUGGCCAGUCUGUGUCUCUUCUUCAUGGUGCUUGCCACACAGUAAGUGACUAUUUGUUCAGUUCAUUGAUUUGUUGAUUCCCUGAUUGAUUGACUAGGUGGAGAGAAUGGGGGAGGUGAUUCUCGGAUUAUUCAGAGACCCGACACAAAGGGAACCCAUGGAGACCAGCUAGCUAGAGUGACGACCCUAAUCAGAAGCACCAUGAGAAUGGUACUAACAUUCUUCUGCUGGCAGGAGAUUCUCUUGCUUUGCUGAGACGCAUAGUGAUGAAGGAAGAGACAUCACAGCCCUUUCCUGGGGUGCAGAGUCCCGUCUCAUCCGCAGAGCAGGGACAGCACAAGUGCUGAUCCCAGAAGUGACUGAGGGUGAAUGCAGCCACUCACGGUGGGACUCAGCACGACGUCAUUCUGUCUCAAGUUCGUUAGGUCAACAUUUUUAAUCGGUGCAAAUAGAUAAAUAGCACAUGUUCACAGAGGUUUUAUGCGUUUGGUUUUUUAUCUGAUUCCAUGGACUCCUCCUGUAGCACACGUUUAAACAUCAGCCUGGAUCU